rnacentral:ncRNA from 3 species
UACGAGGGGGGCAAGCGUUGUUCGGAUUUAUUGGGCGUAAAGGGUGCGUAGGCGGUUUGGCAAGUCUUAUGUGAAAUCUUCGGGCUCAACCCGAAGCCUGCAUAAGAAACUGCCGGGCUUGAGUAUGGGAGAGGUGAGUGGAAUUUCCGGUGUAGCGGUGAAAUGCGUAGAUAUCGGAAGGAACACCUGUGGCGAAAGCGGCUCACUGGACCAUAACUGACGCUGAUGCACGAAAGCUAGGGGAGCAAACAGG